UUAAAGAGUUCUAUAACUCCCAAACCCAUGUGAACAUACCUAACGUUGCCUCGGCAGGUCGCACCUACCUUGUAGCACCCUACCCUGUAGGGCCUACCCGGGAGGUGCGGGUAAGCCUGCCGGCGGCCCACCAAACUCUGUUUGAUAUUGAAUUCUGAACCUAUAACUAAAUAAGUUAAAACUUUCAACAACGGAUCUCUUGGUUCUGGCAUCGAUGAAGAACGCAGCGAAAUGCGAUAAGUAAUGUGAAUUGCAGAAUUCAGUGAAUCAUCGAAUCUUUGAACGCAUAUUGCGCCCAUUAGUAUUCUAGUGGGCAGGACCGUUCGAGCGUCAUUUCAACCCUUAAGCCUUCGUUGCUUAGUGUUGGGAGCCUACGGCAACGUAGCUCCUCAAAGUUAGUGGCGGAGUUGGUUCACACUCUAGACGUAGUAAUUUUUUAUCUCGCCUAUUAGUUGGACUAAUCCCCUGCCGUAAAACCCCCAAUUUAUCAAGGUUGACCUCGAAUCGGUUCAGACAAACUCGCUAAAUUGAAGCAUCUUAGUCAGCGAAGGAAAAGAAACCAACAGGGAUUGCCCUAGUAACGGCGAGUGAAGCGGCAACAGCUCAAAUUUGAAAUCUGGC
rnacentral:rRNA from 1 species